CAGGCCAUCCAGCUGCUACUGAAUGACAAUCCAGAUGUUGUACAGGUCAAUCUGUGAGAUUCUCCAGGUCUUUUAAUCGCUGGUUCAGAUUCUGUCAGAGUCUGACCAUCAACACCUGUCAAGAGGAU